rnacentral:rRNA from 1 species
CAAUAGCGUAUAUUAAAGUUGUUGCGGUUAAAAAGCUCGUAGUUGGAUUUCUGCUGAGAACGACCGGUCCGCCCUUUGGGUGUGUAUCUGGCUCUUUCUUGGCAUCUUCUUGGUGAACGUUGCUGCACUUGACUGUGUGGAGCGCUACCCAGGACUUUUACUUUGAGGAAAUUAGAGUGUUUCAAGCAGGCUUACGCCUUGAAUACAUUAGCAUGGAAUAAUAAGAUAGGACCUCGGUUCUAUUUUGUUGGUUUCUAGAGCUGAGGUAAUGAUUAAUAGGGAUAGUUGGGGGCAUUCGUAUUUAACUGUCAGAGGUGAAAUUCUUGGAUUUGUUAAAGACGGACUACUGCGAANGNAUUUGCNAAGGAUGUUUNCAUUG